UACAGAGGGUGCGAGCGUUAAUCGGAAUUAUUGGGCGUAAAGGGCGCGUAGGCGGCUUGGCAAGUGGAAGGUGAAAUCCCUCGGCUUAACCGAGGAACUGCCCUCCAAACUGCUUGGCUUGAGACCGGGAGAGGUGAGUGGAAUUCCCAGUGUAGCGGUGAAAUGCGUAGAUAUCGAGAGGAACACCAGUGGCGAAGGCGAGUCUCUGGACGACUCCUGACACUGAGGCACGAAAGCCAGGGGAGCAAACAGG
rnacentral:rRNA from 1 species